UGGGGAAUAUUGCGCAAUGGGGGAAACCCUGACGCAGCCAUGCCGCGUGAGUGAAGAAGGUCUUCGGAUCGUAAAGCUCUUUCAACGGUGAAGAUGAUGACGGUAGCCGUAGAAGAAGCCCCGGCUAACUUCGUGCCAGCAGCCGCGGUAAUACGAAGGGGGCAAGCGUUGUUCGGAAUUACUGGGCGUAAAGGGCGUGUAGGCGGUCUAAUCAGUCAGUGGUGAAAGCCCUGGGCUCAACCCAGGAAUUGCCUUUGAUACUGUUAGACUAGAGUUCGGGAGAGGAUAGUGGAAUUCCGAGUGUAGAGGUGAAAUUCGUAGAUAUUCGGAGGAACACCAGUGGCGAAGGCGGCUCACUGGCUCGAUACUGACGCUGAGGUGCGAAAGUGUGGGGAGC
rnacentral:rRNA from 1 species